rnacentral:lncRNA from 1 species
CCUAGAAGCAGUACUUGUGUUCCAGAACCACGUAGCGAGCAUAGGUUAAGACAUCAACCUUAUAGAUUUAGGGUUGUUAAGGUGUUUUACAUGCCAGAUUGAGGGUACCACCAUUCUUAUUCAGUGCACCUGCCAAAUUGAGGAUGACUUUUCAACUUGUCUUUACCCGUGGCAUGGUACUAACACUCUUCCAGCUUGGAUUACAGGUUGGACCCCAAUUAGUUUAGAGAGAGGCAUGUCAGUUAGAUGAUUAAUUCCUACAGUUUUAGUUUCAAACUUAGUAUAGAACUCAGUUCAGUUUU